CUCUCUCUCUCUCUCUCUCUCUAAUUUUCACUCUCUUUAUAUAAACCAGAAAAAAAGAGGGAAUGAUUCUGCUCAUAUCAGUCAUAUGAGUCUUCCCUGAAUUCCACAAAGUCUCCCUGCUCACAUCACCUUUGAUUCUUCUCUUCAAUUUCCCAGUGGUUUCUAUUGGUUCUUCUGAGUUCAAGGCCUUCAUUUUUUUUAUCGGUUUCUAUGCAACUGUUGUUCACUCUACUGGGUUUUCUUCUAUCUUAAGGAAGAACCCCAUGCGUUAAUUGUUCAAUUAGUGGGAUACUGAAACAUCCAGGUUAGUGAAAAUGGGGGUCACAAGUUCAAAAAUUGAAGAUGAUAAGGCUUUGCAGCUUUGUCGUGAAAGAAAGAAAUUUGUAAGGCAGGCACUUGAUGGCAGGUGCUCACUAGCAGCUGCUCAUGUUACAUAUGUCCAGUCGCUGAAAAAUACAGGAACUGCUCUGAGGAAGUUUUUUGAACCUGAAGCUCCAGUUGAAUCUUCAUUGUACACUUCCACAAAUGCAACGCCGGAGCCUCUUGCUUUAACUGAGAAGUCCCUUUCACAUUUCUCAAUCUCUUCUCGAUCUUUAUCACACCCUGUGGAUGCAACUGAAAACCUUUCUCCAUCACCAUCCCCCCCAAGCUCCAGUCGGUUUCAGGCAAAUCAUAUGAAAUUUAGGGGGUUUUCUUCCAAAAAAGUUGAAGAGAAACCUCCUGUAGCUGUUACAGGGACAGUAACCUCAUCUAGUACCCCACAGAAUAUUACACCUCUUUCCGCUGAAAAACCUGAAACAUCACCAUUUGAAGCUUCUUCAGUCCCACCAGGAACUCCGCCAUGGGAUUACUUUGGACUUUGUCAUCCAGAUGACCAUCAGUUUUCUUUUCAAGAAGUGAAAGAAGAGAAGCCAGGGUUGGAGAAUGUUGAUGAUUUAAGACGGCUUAGGGAAGAGGAGGGAAUUCCUGAGUUGGAAGAUGAAGAAGAGAAACAUUCAUAUCAUGCAAGUGAAGAAUCUGAAGAUUCAGAAUAUGACUUUGAUGACCCUCCUGCAGAUACUUUGGUUCGAAGUUUUGAAAAUCUUAAUAGGGUACAAGAUCAUGUUGCGCCUAGUGCGUCACCUGCUAUGCCUUCUACUGUAAGUGCAGCUUCCGAGACUGAGUUAUUUAAUGGGGAGAAAAGUAACUCUCCUGAUUUGUCACCGUUGAGAACUCAAUCCUCAGCCCUGGCUGUUUCAUCUGAAACAAAGAAAACAAAUGUAAGAGAAGAUCGAACUGAAAAUAAGAUUUCCCCCAAGGACUUCUUUUCGAGCAUAAAGGAUGUUGAAAAUCUGUUCAUAAAAGCUUCUGAUGCUGGGAAAGAAGUUCCAAGGAUGCUUGAAGCAAAUAAGUUGCAUUUCCGUCCAAUAGUUGCAGCAAAAGAAAAUGAAUCAAUGGUAUCAACAUUCCUCAAGGCUUGUUUCUCUUGUGGGGAAGACCCUAGUCAAGCUCAAGAUGAGCCUGCUCAAAAUUCUGUGAAAUACUUAACUUGGCAUAGGACAACAUCGUCACGAUCAUAUUCAUCCAGGAAUCCUCUUGGACCACAUGCAGGGGAUGACACUGAAGAUCUCAAUGGUAAUAUUUUUGAAAAUUCUUGCAUGAUCUCAGGCAGUCAUGCUUCGACAUUGGAUAGGUUAUAUGCUUGGGAGAAGAAACUUUAUGAUGAAGUAAAGGUAUUUGGGUUUCUUGAUAGUUACAGGACUGUUAUUAAACAUGUUUUUCAAUUGAUAUGCAGAGUUAUUUACUUGUUUGCCUAAUUCAUUUGAUAGGAGAAAUCGAUAAAUCUGGUGGAAUGGUUAGGCAUGACCUUUUAGUUGUAUAGUGCUUGCAUCUUUUUAUUAUUCAAUAAGAACAUUAACUAUUUGCAUUUUCCUUGCUUCCUAUCCCUAUUAGAUUAUUAGCUAUUUCACUGGUCAAAUUGUGGUCAAAUUGUGGUCAAAUUGUCUAUGUUCCUUUUCUAUUUAUUUAGCAGCUGUGAUUAAUAUAUUGCUUCAUAGGUUAGUUUUUCCUUCCAGGGGUUGUGUGAUGCAUUGCUUGUUGGUUAUUUUGACAUGGCAUAACUCAAAAUUGAAAAUUAGUAACAAUCAAUAUUUAUUAAGACUAGAAAAGGAGGUAGACGUAAGAUAACUUGGCUGAAGAAGUGAAAAAGAAUUCACCAAUCCUAGACGAAGCUGCAGAUAUACCCCGAAACCCAGUAGAAUUAAGAAAAAAAAAAAACCAUAUAGUUAUACUCGAUAGGAUUGGGUUUAAAGCUUAUAUUUUCAAGUAAGAAAUGCUAUGAUGCCAUCUGUUCAUGUUCAAUAAACUGUUUGCACAAUAUCAAAAUGUCAAAGAAAUAUAAUUAUUAAAUUUGCCCAUUAUGCUGUACUGUUGAUAUCUAAUACUAUAUAUAAAAGGAGAAUUUAAGUGGCACUCACCUCGACUUAAAUGCCUGUUAUCAACUAAUAAAAUGGUAAUUAUAUUUGGUGAUAAAAUUACUAAAAUAUCUAUAAAAAAUUGACUACUUUUUUAAAAAGUAUCAGAAAAGAGAGCAAUGUAGAAGAAGCAUUGGCUGGCCGCCUGAAGGGAAACAUCUCUAACUUUUGAAUCACCCAUAAUAUUGCUGCCUCCUUACAAAUACAUGAUGGGUUUGCUUGUCUUGAUGAUAAUUUCUGGUAGUUCUUAUUGUUUGUCCUUGAUUCUUAAAUGGGUUUAAGGAGGAUGGACCUGUGCUGGAGAAAGUGAUUCAAAUUGAUUCUGGCCUAGUUCAGUAGCAGGUUUUGAUUGGUUUUGCAUGGUAAUGUAAUGGUGCAGCAGAGUUUGAGAAGAUAAUCAAUAUGUGGUGAUGGUUGAGAUUGCAUUACCAGAUUUGGGAGAGAGAACAAAAUUUUGGGGUGAGGAUGGAUGUUUUGGUCAUGUGGACAAUCUAUCCUUGAAUGAAAAUAGCUAACAUCCAGAUUAAAAAAAAAAUGUAAACUUGAUCUUGAAUGAUAUAACAUCAUUUUUUUUAAUUAACUCAACAACUGCAAUUACUCUUAAUUUUCGUAUUGCUUAUAUAUGUAUAUAAUAUGUUGGACAUUUAAUAGUUUAUAAUAAAUUUUAUAAUUUAUUUAAUUGAUGCUAUAAUGCAACUGGUAGCUUAAUUAUGUAUUCAAUGUUUAAUUUAUUGGGAUCUUGAGAUAGUAUGUCAAUUGAGAUGCACUAAAUGGCAUUACCACUUAGCAUAUCUAGCAGCAUAUAACAUUUAGUAAUGUGGUUGGCUUUAAUGACUAACCAACGUAACUCAUUACAAAUUUUGAACUAAAAAAAAAUCCCAAAUUCAUCAUGACACUCAAAAUUUCUUGAAAGUUGAAUUCUGUAUAACGUAUGUAUUUCCUUCAAUUGCAAAUAUAUUUACAUAUCUUCUCUUUCAGGCUAGUUGGAUGGUCAGAAGAGAGUAUGAUGCCAAGCGCACAAUCCUUAGACAACUGGAAUCUAAAGGAGAAAACAACAACAAAAAAAUUGAUAAAACUCGUGCUGUUGUUAAGGAUCUACACUCAAGAAUUAGAGUUGCAAUUCACAGAAUCGAUUCCAUAUCUAAGACGAUUGAGGAAUUGCGGGACAAAGAGCUUCAGCCACAACUUGAGGAAUUAAUUGAUGGGUAUGUGCUUCCUUGUCAUGUUUCUUUAAUUCAAGUUGCCACUUUGAUUUGCUCAUGACAAUUUUCAGCCUCAAAUCCUGGAUGCUCGGAUGCUCUUCAUGCAAGUCAGUACUCAGUAGUGUUAAGAGACUUUUUAAGUUCAACUUCAUAUGUUGAUGAAAGCAACAAUAUAUUAUAACUGCUAUAGAUAAAAUGAUUUAUUUGGAUAUCUGGCCUAAGUAUGAAAAUAUCAGGUAGUGUGAUUGGUUCACCUGUCCACCAGUUUAUCACCCAAAAAAUAACCAUUUAGUUAAAUGAGAAUGAAAUAUGUAUCAUUAUGGUAGAAUUGGAUUAUCCCAAAACUCUGUGAAUGUCACUAACUAAAUCAUGAUUCAUUUUUUCAAAAUUAUGGUUAACUGAAUUAAUUUCUGAUUUAGGAAAAAAAUUAAGGCUUAUUUAUGACAGGUUUCUUUCAUAUUAAAAGUUGUGUUAUCUAUGAUAGUGGAGUAGUUAUUUUGGUGGAGUUGGAUUCCAUGGGGCUAUCGCUUUGUUUGAAGACUUGUUAUAUUGUAACUAGUAAGCCUGGAUUAACAUCCCUUUACCAUAUGCCAUGUGGUUUUGCCACAAGCAAACUGUUAAUUUGGAUAGGUCCUCAGAUUUUGGGCAAGGAUUUUUCAUUCAGGUUGAGCCUUUUUGAUUCUCAGUCUUGAAGCUAGCUGCUGUUGGCAGCAAAUGGUUUUCCCAUCCCUUCAUGUGUGAAUGUGAGUUGUAGUUGUAUUUACUUAUGAUAGAACACUGUAUCUUGUCAGUCUCAUUAGGAUAUGGUAGCCUCCAUAAAAAAUCACAUAUGACAAAAAAGUUGGUUUCUAGCUGAUAUGUAUAGCCCUCAAGUUCUGAGAGAUCGGUGGAAUCUGUUCUCUUACAAAGGAAAAAUUAUCUCAAGUUUUAGUCAGCGUAUUAUUCUAAUUUCUGACUCUGCUGUUCAAUGCUAGUAGUUAUACUAACUGGAUUUGCAGUGUCAUAUGUGUAUGUAUCCAGUGCACCAUUUGUGUGAUGGGAUUUCUCCAGCCUGUUGUUUCCAGCUAAGUGUAUCCAAUUUUCAUGUCAUCAAUUACAUGGUUUCCAUGCUUUGGCCUACUGCUAACUGUAUGCUGAGAUCUUAACCAACUUUUGUGAUAAUCAUUCUUCUGUAGAAUGAAUAAGAAGUAAGGAGCAUUUACAAUUUGAACAUUUCUGGUGAGCACUUUUAACUUCUCACCCCUGCUGACAAUGGCAGGCUAAGCCGGAUGUGGCAGGUGAUGUUUGAUUGCCACAAGCUUCAGUUCCACAUUAUAUCAAUAGCAUACAACAAUGGGAGCGCUAAAAUCUCUAUACAGUCAGAGUCACAUCGGCAGAUUACCAUCCUUCUAGAAAAUGAACUUGAUUCUCUGUCAUCAUGUUUUACAAAGUGGAUUGGUGCUCAGAAGUCCUAUCUCCAGGCUAUAAAUGAUUGGCUUUUCAAAUGUGUCUUUCUUCCACAAAAACCUACAAAGAAGAAAAGGAAACAACCAUCCCCUUCAUUAACUUUGAGAAGAAGUGGCCCUCCAAUAUAUGUCACCUGUGGAGUCUGGUUGGAGAAGCUUGAGGACUUGCCUGCAAAGGCAGUUGUGGAGGCUAUAAAGGGUUUGGCAGGAGAAACUGCUAACCUUUUACCCCGCCAAGAAAAAAACCAAGGGAAGAGUGCAAACCUAGGAAAUGGCAGCGAUUUAGGAAUUAAUUUGUUGAGAGAUGAAGCUUCAGAAGACUGUAUAUCAGGUUUUGAGCGUUUCCGAUUGAGCUUGGAGGGAUUUCUUGGUCAGUUGAAUAACUUUGCAGAGUGUUCUGUGAAAAUGUAUGCAGAGCUCCAUAAGUCCAUCCAGGAUGCUAAGAAUCCCCCCACACAACCUCCAUUCCAACAAGAAGUUGUUUAAUUGAAAAAAGAAUUUGGUUGCAGCGAAAGGUUCAGAAUUUCAUUUGUGCAGCAGUGUUCAAAAUUCUGAUAAAUGAAGAUCUUUGCACAGAGUUAAGUUGGAUGUGGUCAUUUGUACAUGAGGAAAGUAAUAAAAGAGUACGUGGAAGCCAUUUGUGGUACAAAAAUGAAAUAAAGAAGCUGAUAGUAAUUUGUAAGAGUGGGUAUAAAGGGAGGAGGGGUGAGUUUCUAGUUUAAAAAAAUGUUAUCGCCUGGUUGCUGAUGGUGAUAAAUAGAGUAAUUUUUCAAUGUAAAAGGACCUGUAUAGUUUUCCUUAGUCGUCACCAAUUUUUCUCAGCAACUAUAAGAACUCAGAUCAAAUUCCACCCCAGUUAAAUAUUUUGAUUAAGCAUUGCAUUUUAAUAUUAACAUUUCCCUGUAUACAUUUAUCAUGUGCUUGGGUUUAUAUUCUGGAAUUGAUCCCAGUAACAACACUUCAUUUUGUCUUCCGGUUUUGAACUAGAUUUCAAGUAAAUGAAUUAAGGUACCUAUCCUGUUUGGAUCUCUGCUUUUUGUUUGUAAAUAUUAAGAGGGGAUUUUCUAGCUGUGGAGUAUUCCUUCUAAGGUGAUUUUGAGCUUCUAUUUGAGUUUCUUGUGCUUUUGCCUCUCAAAGUGUGGAGCUCGGCUUUGAUUUGAAGCUGUGAGCUCCAUUUAAGGCCACAGAAUUUCUAAUCUAGCCUCUGAUGAGGGCAAGGGCAGAGGCAUUUAUUCUUCUCAUUAUUAUGCUUUCCUCCUCUCUUUAUUC
rnacentral:misc_RNA from 1 species